rnacentral:rRNA from 1 species
GACGAACGCUGGCGGCAGGCUUAACACAUGCAAGUCGAGCGCCCCGCAAGGGGAGCGGCAGACGGGUGAGUAACACGUGGGAACAUACCCAUCUCUGCGGAACAACUCCGGGAAACUGGAGCUAAUACCGCAUACGCCCUUUGGGGGAAAGAUUUAUCGGAGAUGGAUUGGCCCGCGUUGGAUUAGCUAGUUGGUGGGGUAAAGGCCUACCAAGGCGACGAUCCAUAGCUGGUCUGAAAGGAUGAUCAGCCACAUUGGGACUGAGACACGGCCCAAACUCCGACGGGAGGCAGCAGUGGGGAAUAUUGGACAAUGGGCGCAAGCCUGAUCCAGCCAUGCCGCGUGAGUGAUGAAGGCCUUAGGGUUGUAAAGCUCUUUCACCGAUGAAGAUAAUGACGGUAGUCGGAGAAGAAGCCCCGGCUAACUUCGUGCCAGCCGCCGCGGUAAAAC